CCUACGGGAGGCAGCAGUGGGGAAUAUUGGACAAUGGGGGCAACCCUGAUCCAGCCAUGCCGCGUGAGUGAAGAAGGCCCUAGGGUUGUAAAGCUCUUUCAGAUGUGAGGAUGAUGACAGUAGCAUCAGAAGAAGCACCGGCUAACUUCGUGCCAGCAGCCGCGGUAAUACGAAGGGUGCUAGCGUUGUUCGGAAUUACUGGGCGUAAAGGGCGUGUAGGCGGAUGAUCAAGCUAGGGGUGAAAGCCCAGGGCCCAACCCUGGAACUGCCUUUAGAACUGAUUGUCUAGAAUCCGUAAGGGGAGUGUGGAAUUCCUAGUGUAGAGGUGAAAUUCGUAGAUAUUAGGAAGAACACCAGUGGCGAAGGCGGCACUCUGGUACGGUAUUGACGCUGAGGCGCGAAAGCGUGGGGAGCAAACAGGAUUAGAUACCCUGGUAGUCCACGCCGUAAACGAUGUCUGCUAGCCGUUUGGACACUUAGUGUCUGGGUGGCGCCGCUAACGCAUUAAGCAUUCCGCCUGGGGAGUACGGUCGCAAGACUGAAACUCAAAGGAAUUGACGG
rnacentral:rRNA from 1 species